rnacentral:rRNA from 1 species
UGGGGAAUAUUGGACAAUGGGGGCAACCCUGAUCCAGCGACGCCGCGUGUGUGAAGAAGGCCUGCGGGUUGUAAAGCACUUUUAGUGGGGAUGAAAAGCCUGGAGCUAACACCUCCGGGUCUUGACCUAACCCACAGAAAAAGCACCGGCUAACUCUGUGCCAGCAGCCGCGGUAAUACAGAGGGUGCGAGCGUUAAUCGGAAUUACUGGGCGUAAAGCGUGCGUAGACGGUCGUGCAAGUCGGGUGUGAAAGCCCCAGGCUCAACCUGGGAAUUGCAUUCGAAACUGCUCGGCUAGGGUGCGGAAGAGGGAAGCGGAAUUUCCGGUGUAGCGGUGAAAUGCGUAGAUAUCGGAAGGAACACCAGUGGCGAAAGCGGCUUCCUGGUCCGACACCGACGUUCAGGCACGAAAGCGUGGGGAGCAAACAGG